rnacentral:rRNA from 1 species
CCUACGGGAGGCAGCAGUAACGAAUCUUCCGCAAUGCGCGAAAGCGUGACGGGGUAAUGCCGCGUGCAGGAUGAAGCCCUUCGGGGUGUAAACUGCUGUCAGGGGUUAGGAAUUUCAUGACCAGCCCCAAAGGAAGAGCCGGCUAACUCUGUGCCAGCAGCCGCGGUAAUACAGAGGGCUCGAGCGUUAAUCGGAAUCACUGGGCUUAAAGCGUGCGUAGGCGGAUCUUCAGGCCUGUUGUGAAAUCCCACGGCUCAACCGUGGAAUUGCGAUAGGAACCGGAGAUCUUGAGUCAGGUAGAGGCGGGUGGAACGAUAGGUGGAGCGGUGAAAUGCGUAGAUAUCUAUCGGAACGCCAAAGGAGAAGUCAGCCCGCUGGGCCUGUUCUGACGCUGAGGCACGAAAGCGUGGGUAGCAAACGGGAUUAGAUACCCGGUAGUCCACGCCGUAAACGAUAGCGCACUAGACUAGAGGGGACGGUGUACGCUUUCUUCUAGUCGUAGACGAAAAGUAGUACUAAGUAGCGCCGCCGUCGGGGAGGUACGGUCGGCGAAGAAGUUAAAACGUUAAAAGGUAAAGUUAGUUACGGACGUGAGAGUAGCCGACGGACGACGACGAGGGAGGAGG